rnacentral:rRNA from 1 species
UUAAGCGACCAAGCGUACACGGUGGAUGCCCUGGCAGUCAGAGGCGAUGAAGGACGUGCUAAUCUGCGAAAAGCGCCGGUAAGGUGAUAUGAACCGUUAUAACCGGCGAUGUCCGAAUGGGGAAACCCAGUGUGACUCGUCACACUAUCAUUACGUGAAUACAUAGCGUAAUGAGGCGAACCGGGGGAACUGAAACAUCUAAGUACCCCGAGGAAAAGAAAUCAACCGAGAUUCCCCCAGUAGCGGCGAGCGAACGGGGAGGAGCCCAGAGCCUGAAUCAGCAUGUGUGUUAGUGGAAGCGUCUGGAAAGGCGCGCGAUACAGGGUGAGAGCCCCGUACACAAAAGCGCAUAUGCUGUGAGCUCGAUGAGUAGGGCGGGACACGUGGUAUCCUGUCUGAAUAUGGGGGGACCAUCCUCCAAGGCUAAAUACUCCUGACUGACCGAUAGUGAACCAGUACCGUGAGGGAAAGGCGAAAAGAACCCCGGCGAGGGGAGUGAAAGAGAACCUGAAACCGUGUACGUACAAGCAGUGGGAGCAUGAGUUUACUCAUGUGACUGCGUACCUUUUGUAUAAUGGGUCAGCGACUUAUAUUCUGUAGCAAGGUUAACCGCAUAGGGGAGCCGAAGGGAAACCGAGUCUUAAUUGGGCGUUAAGUUGCAGGGUAUAGACCCGAAACCCGGUGAUCUAGCCAUGGGCAGGUUGAAGGUUGGGUAACACUAACUGGAGGACCGAACCGACUAAUGUUGAAAAAUUAGCGGAUGACCUGUGGCUGGGGGUGAAAGGCCAAUCAAACCGGGAGAUAGCUGGUUCUCCCCGAAAGCUAUUUAGGUAGCGCCUCGUGAAUUCAUCUCCGGGGGUAGAGCACUGUUUCGGCUAGGGGGCCAUCCCGGCUUACCAACCCGAUGCAAACUGCGAAUACCGGAGAAUGUUAUCACGGGAGACACACGGCGGGUGCUAACGUCCGUCGUGAAGAGGGAAACAACCCAGACCGCCAGCUAAGGUCCCAAAGUCAUGGUUAAGUGGGAAACGAUGUGGGAAGGCCCAGACAGCCAGGAUGUUGGCUUAGAAGCAGCCAUCAUUUAAAGAAAGCGUAAUAGCUCACUGGUCGAGUCGGCCUGCGCGGAAGAUGUAACGGGGCUAAACCAUGCACCGAAGCUGCGGCAGCGACACGUAAGUGUUGUUGGGUAGGGGAGCGUUCUGUAAGCCGUUGAAGGUGGCCUGUGAGGGUUGCUGGAGGUAUCAGAAGUGCGAAUGCUGACAUAAGUAACGAUAAAGCGGGUGAAAAGCCCGCUCGCCGGAAGACCAAGGGUUCCUGUCCAACGUUAAUCGGGGCAGGGUGAGUCGACCCCUAAGGCGAGGCCGAAAGGCGUAGUCGAUGGGAAACAGGUUAAUAUUCCUGUACUUGGUGUUACUGCGAAGGGGGGACGGAGAAGGCUAUGUUGGCCGGGCGACGGUUGUCCCGGUUUAAGCGUGUAGGUGUGUGUUCCAGGUAAAUCCGGUUCACUUUAACACUGAGGCGUGACGACGAGGCACUACGGUGCUGAAGCAACAAAUGCCCUGCUUCCAGGAAAAGCCUCUAAGCAUCAGGUAACAUCAAAUCGUACCCCAAACCGACACAGGUGGUCAGGUAGAGAAUACCAAGGCGCUUGAGAGAACUCGGGUGAAGGAACUAGGCAAAAUGGUGCCGUAACUUCGGGAGAAGGCACGCUGACAUGUAGGUGAAGUGAUUUACUCAUGGAGCUGAAGUCAGUCGAAGAUACCAGCUGGCUGCAACUGUUUAUUAAAAACACAGCACUGUGCAAACACGAAAGUGGACGUAUACGGUGUGACGCCUGCCCGGUGCCGGAAGGUUAAUUGAUGGGGUCAGCGCAAGCGAAGCUCCUGAUCGAAGCCCCGGUAAACGGCGGCCGUAACUAUAACGGUCCUAAGGUAGCGAAAUUCCUUGUCGGGUAAGUUCCGACCUGCACGAAUGGCGUAAUGAUGGCCAGGCUGUCUCCACCCGAGACUCAGUGAAAUUGAACUCGCUGUGAAGAUGCAGUGUACCCGCGGCAAGACGGAAAGACCCCGUGAACCUUUACUAUAGCUUGACACUGAACAUUGAGCCUUGAUGUGUAGGAUAGGUGGGAGGCUUUGAAGCGUGGACGCCAGUCUGCGUGGAGCCAACCUUGAAAUACCACCCUUUAAUGUUUGAUGUUCUAACGUGGACCCGUAAUCCGGGUUGCGGACAGUGUCUGGUGGGUAGUUUGACUGGGGCGGUCUCCUCCUAAAGAGUAACGGAGGAGCACGAAGGUUGGCUAAUCCUGGUCGGACAUCAGGAGGUUAGUGCAAUGGCAUAAGCCAGCUUGACUGCGAGCGUGACGGCGCGAGCAGGUGCGAAAGCAGGUCAUAGUGAUCCGGUGGUUCUGAAUGGAAGGGCCAUCGCUCAACGGAUAAAAGGUACUCCGGGGAUAACAGGCUGAUACCGCCCAAGAGUUCAUAUCGACGGCGGUGUUUGGCACCUCGAUGUCGGCUCAUCACAUCCUGGGGCUGAAGUAGGUCCCAAGGGUAUGGCUGUUCGCCAUUUAAAGUGGUACGCGAGCUGGGUUUAGAACGUCGUGAGACAGUUCGGUCCCUAUCUGCCGUGGGCGCUGGAAGAUUGAGGGGGGCUGCUCCUAGUACGAGAGGACCGGAGUGGACGCAUCACUGGUGUUCGGGUUGUCAUGCCAAUGGCACUGCCCGGUAGCUAAAUGCGGAAAAGAUAAGUGCUGAAAGCAUCUAAGCACGAAACUUGCCCCGAGAUGAGUCUUCCCUGAGACUUUGAGUCUCCUGAAGGAACGUUGAAGACGACGACGUUGAUAGGCCGGGUGUGUAAGCGCAGCGAUGCGUUGAGCUAACCGGUACUAAUGAACCGUGAGGCUUAACCUU